AACGCAUAUUGCGCUCUCUGGCAUUCCGGAGAGCAUGCUUGUUUGAGUAUCAGUAAACACCUCAAGUCGAGAGAUCUUUUUUGAGAUCUUGAGACUUGGAUUUGAGUGAUCCUAACGACGAAGUCCCUUAAACAAGGACAAGAAGGCAGGUCGCUUGAAAUUCAGGUGCAGCUGAACUUUUCUUCUGAGCUAAAAGCAUUAUUUAUUUAGUCUCCUUUGACUAUUACUUUUUUGCUGCAGCUAACAUAAAGGAAGGAAGGCUUUCAUCAUGCUGACUGAUGCAGGAAUUUAGCGGAAGCAACACACACAUUGUUUCUGUUAGACUCGAUCUCAAAUCAAGUAAGACUACCCGCUGAACUUAA
rnacentral:misc_RNA from 1 species